UUGCCAGCCCGCUCAGAACGUCAAGGAAUUGACGGGGCCCGCACAAGCGGAGGAGCAUGUGGUUAAUUCGAUGAUACGCGAGGAACUUACCUGGGCUCGAACGUAAGAUGACUGUAGGUGAAAGCUUACAUCUCUUCGGAGCAUUUUACGAGGUGCUGCAUGGUUGUCGUCAGCUCGUGCCGUGAGGUGUCGGGUUAAGUCCCAUAACGAGCGCAACCCCUACCUUUAGUUGCCAUCAGGUUAAGCUGGGGACUCUAAAGGAACUGCCUACGCAAGUAGUGAGGAAGGCGGGGAUGACGUCAAAUCAGCACGGCCCUUACGUCCAGGGCUACACACGUGCUACAAUGGCCGAUACAGAGGGCAGCUACCUGGUGACAGGAUGCAAAUCUCCAAAGUCGGUCUCAGUUCGGAUCGGAGUCUGCAACCCGACUCCGUGAAGUUGGAUUCGCUAGUAAUCGCGCAUCAGCCAUGGCGCGGUGAAUACGUUCCCGGGCCUU
rnacentral:rRNA from 1 species